CGAGCCGCCCGCGGCUUCAAAGAGGUAGCGUUCUAAAAUGCUUAAUAACUUUUUAACCGCUAAUUCUAUCCAUCUGAUUUAAAAAGUGAGGUAAAGCGGCUAUUCUAGGCUUUUUGCUGGUAUCACUAUGUCCUUUUCCGGGAUUUAGAGGCUCCGACGUGAUCGGGGCAACGUUAUCACAUUUUACAGCCUUGAUUCGUCAAGGAGACCCACGCGGCCCCUCUGUCUGAGCCAAACAGCCAAGGUUUUAGACUAAGUCCCACCCCCCUGUGUCCGGAUAGGUUUAAAAUGUAAAGGUCCAGGCAAACCUCUGCCCAUGCUACCAUCUUCUCGACCAAUCAACAUAGGUUGCUGUGUAUGUUUUUGGCGGCGGGAGAUAAACAAAGAGAAACAGAGAGACGAGAGAGUAAUACUAAAGAAGAGUAAUUCUGCCAGCGUAAGAGAAAUAAAUACAACACGAGAUAUCUAGAUACAGUCACACACAUACAUACACACACACACACACACACACACACACAUAUCCCAAGACAAAUUCAAACCAACAUGUCAAAACGGCGUUACACUACGGAAGAAACCGUAGAAUGUAUUUUGUCUGGCGGACCGCUUAGCGAUGCAGCGGUGGAUUCCUCAGAUUCUGAAGCUGACAACUGGCAAGGAAGAGGAGUAUGAUCACGGGAUUGAUCCCUUCGAAGAUAAAAAAUACAGAGGAUGAGAGAGGGGAUGCACAAGCCACUGUCCCCAUCAGUAGGCCUCCUUCAAACCGAGAGGGAAAAGAAUGUGGCCAGGAGGGUGCAGCAUCCAGAAAAAAGGCCAAACCAAUGCCAGCCCCCCUGACAGUGAAAGGGAGAGGAAGAGGGAAAGGGAAAAAAACAUCUCUGACCCCAGAAGAGCCAGGAGCUGUUUGGAACGGACCUGAGGUGCCAGAUACUGCCCAACAACUACCACACUUUUGCCCGAAAAGAGCCCGUGGAGUCCAAGGUUUUGUUGGUGUGGAGUAUACUCCUGCACAAAUAUUUAGAAAUUGUUUUAACAACCAAGCUGUAAAUAUCAUCUGCAAGAACACAAACAAAAAUGCUGAAAAGGAGCAGGCUAAGGGGGAAAAGUUUGUUU